rnacentral:lncRNA from 1 species
UAUUCUAAUCAUUUAUGUUUGCCAGACCCUGUGGUAUUUCAGGCCAGGUGACAAUUAUCUUUUUUUUAAUUUCCCCCCACUUUUCAGGGCCACACCCUUGGCAUAUGGAGGUUUCCAGGCUAGGGGUCUAAUCGGAGCUACAGCUGCUGGCCACAGUCACAGCCGCAGCAACGCUUGUACUGAGCCGUGUCUGCAACCUACACCACAGAUCACAGCAAUGCCAGAUCCUGAACCCACUGAGCGAGGCCAGGGUCUGAAGUGGCAUCCUCACGGACACUAGUCAGGUUCGUUACUGCUGAGCUACAACAGGAACUCCUAUCCUAAAGAAACUGAUUGCUGAGCAGGAGAAUUGUGUUACACACAGAAUUUCCAUGUCAGGUAGAUGGUGACUAAAACUGCAGGAAGGCUUCUCCUGAAGGACACUGGAGUUCAGAGGACAGCAGAUGUGACUGCCAGUCAAUGCCACACACUGGAGGAGAGGAAGUGCCACCUUGGGGAGACCAGAAUCCUUCUGUUCCAGGUGCACAUGCUCCGGAGAAGGUCUGAUUUCCUUUAAUAGGAAAAGAUGCUACAGGUUGGGGAACAGAGUGUGUACCGGGGGAAGGGAAGGGAACAACAAACAUGCGAGUCCCUGAGUACUGAGGCAAAGGAGAGACAAGUCCAGGAGAAGCUGGUCUGGGUCUGUGCAGGAGGUCUGAGCCCUUCAGGCAUCCUUCUGAGAUUCUGAGACUGUCCCUCUGCUGUUUCUUCCCACUGGUGGGACUCUGCCUGUAAGUCAGGUAGGUGCCACUAGGUGGAGAAGUGUCUGGAUGACAACCUCUAGCAUGAUUUCUCCUGGGCUCUGGUAGCAGAGCAGAUAGAGG